AUUGAACGCUGGCGGCAGGCCUAACACAUGCAAGUCGAACGAGUGGCGGACGGGUGAGUAAUGUCUGAGAAACUGCCUGAUGUAGGGGGAUAACUACUGGAAACGGUAGCUAAUACCGCAUACCAUCGGAUGUGCCCAGAUGGGAUUAGCUAGUAGGUGGGGUAAAGGCUCACCUAGGCGACGAUCCCUCGCUGGUCUGAGAGGAUGACCAGCAACACUGGAACUGAGACACGGCCCAGACUCCUACGGGAGGCAGCAGUGGGGAAUAUUGCACAAGGGGCGCAAGCCUGAUGCAGACAUGCCGCGUGUAUGAAGAAGGCCUUCGGGUGGUAAAGUACUUUCAGCGGGGAGGCGUUACCCGCAGAAGAAGCACCGGCGAACUCCGUGCCAGCCGCCGCGGUAAUAC
rnacentral:rRNA from 1 species